rnacentral:misc_RNA from 1 species
UUCAUUAGAGUUGGACAUGUCAAUUUCACCUUUCUCCUGCAACAAAAAUCCUGUUAGCAGCAGAUAUUAACAGCAAAAUGAACAAACAAAAUGGACUGCAGUUAACACUAAAAUGCUUUGCAACUUAUAAAAGGAGUAACUAAAAACAAAACACAUAGUUCAGUACAAUAGUAAAAAGAAUUCUUGGCAUUGCAAAAGGAGAGGCACUGGCAUUCUAUGUAAUUUAGCCACUCAUAAUUCAGAAUCCACAAACUAAUUGCCUGCAAAAUAAUAUUGAGCUACUCAAAGAAAGCAGUAUAGAACAAAACAACAGAGCAUUACUUUUAAAGGUAAAGAAAAAAGGUGACAGAGGGGAGAAUCCUCUGUGAACAUACAAAUUAAUUAGCAAAAUGGCAUAUCAUAGUUAUAUUGGCAUCCAAUAUGCUGAAGUAACCAAAACAAUUUUCUAGAAAUUAAGUAAAUGAAUUGACAUAAGGUCUACCUUCACAAAGGUGAUAGCCUGGACAACAUUUUAGCCAUCUCCAUAGAUAAGGCUCCAGUACUAAAUGUCAGCAAGUUUCCAGUCCCCGCAGUUAAAAUUUUUCUUCAAAUUUUACUUUUUCUUAUUUUUUGUGAUUUUCAUAGAAAUAAUCUGAAAAUCUUCAAUCUUACAUAAGUUAAGUGAAUGAUGAACUAUCACUUAUCAACUAAAAGGAAAACCAAUCUUUUACAUGCACAAAACAAUUAAAACCAAUUCAAAAUUUACAAAAUCUUUGCUAAAAUUUAUCACCUGGAGAAGUGCCCAUUUCCAUUAGAAUU